rnacentral:rRNA from 1 species
UACAGAGGGUGCAAGCGUUAAUCGGAAUUACUGGGCGUAAAGCGUGCGCAGACGGUUGCGUAAGUCAGAUGUGAAAGCCCCGGGCUCAACCUGGGAAUUGCAUUUGAGACUGCGUAGCUAGGGUGCGGAAGAGGGAAGCGGAAUUCCCGGUGUAGAGGUGAAAUUCGUAGAUAUCGGGAGGAACACCGGUGGCGAAGGCGGCGACCUGGGUAGAUACUGACGCUGAGGUGCGAAAGCGUGGGGAGCAAACAGG